rnacentral:rRNA from 1 species
GACGAACGCUGGCGGCGUGCUUAACACAUGCAAGUCGAACGGAAAGGCCCUGCUUUUGUGUGGUGCUCGAGUGGCGAACGGGUGAGUAACACGUGAGUAUCCUGCCCUUGACUUUGGGAUAACUUCAGGAAACUGGGGCUAAUACCGGAUAGGAGCUCCUGCUGCAUGGUGGGGGUUGGAAAGUUUAGGCGGUGGGGGAUGGACUCGCGGCUUAUCAGCUUGUUGGUGGGGUAGUGGCUUACCAAGGCUUUGACGGGUAGCCUGCCUGAGAGGGGGACCAGCGACAUUGGGACUGAGAUACGGCGCAGACUCCUACGGGAGGCAGCAGUGGGGAAUAUUGCACAAUGAGCGGAAGCCUGAUACGGCAACCCCGCGUGCGGGAAGACGGCCUUCGGGUUGUAAACCGCAUUAGCCUGUGACGAAGCGUGAGUGACGUUACUGGGUAAAGAAGCACCGGCUAACUACGUG